UACGGGGGGGGCAAGCGUUGUUCGGAAUUACUGGGCGUAAAGGGCUCGUAGGUGGCCAACUAAGUCAGACGUGAAAUCCCUCGGCUUAACCGGGGAACUGCGUCUGAUACUGGAUGGCUUGAGUUUGGGAGAGGGACGCGGAAUUCCAGGUGUAGCGGUGAAAUGCGUAGAUAUCUGGAGGAACACCGGUGGCGAAGGCGGCGUCCUGGACCAACACUGACACUGAGGAGUGAAAGCGUGGGGAGCAAACAGG
rnacentral:rRNA from 1 species